rfam:Blastocystis sp. NandII AV274scaffold_135, whole genome shotgun sequence.
GGGUGUGUAGCUCAAAUGGUAGAGUGAUCCCUUCGCAAGGGAUAGGUAACGGGAUCGAUGCCCGUCUCAUCCA